CAUCUGUUGCAGAGAACUCCAGAGUUAACUGCAGACCAAAAGUCUGCUCAAAAUAUUUUGGACCAGAUUCUGAUCUCAGUUCACCCAGUGAAAAUCCAGAGCAUCUCCACUGAGGUGAGAGGCUGAUUGCUGAAGCCAGGUAAAUAGGAAGGCUUCCGAGAAAUGUGCAGCUGGAAGGAUGGAAGUACUGUUUGCCAAGGAAAGCAGCCAUUCAAAUCACCACUUUGGCAGGGGAUCUGGGAUGGCCACCAAGAGGAGCACAGUUGAUGGGGACUGGGGAACAAGCCCUCUCUGCAGGUAGGCACCUGAACCAAACUUUUCAAAGAGAAAGCUUACCUGUGAGAUGGACUCCAUGGUCCAGCCAUGCUUAGAUUGGAUCUCUAGGCUGCAGCCGUCCUGUUUCCCAGUCAUGUUAACUCUGCAGGCCCAACUGUAUUUGGCACCUGCAAGACACUUCACUCUGAGAGCCCCUCACCAGAGGUUGAUCCAAGUGACUCAAAACAGCUUUUCCAAAACAAAUAUAUGGUUUAUGCACCCAACUAGCCAUCAAAGUGUAAAA